rnacentral:rRNA from 1 species
UACGUAGGGAGCAAGCGUUGUUCGGAUUUACUGGGCGUAAAGGGCGCGUAGGCGGCGUGUUAAGUCAGCUGUGAAAUCUCUGAGCUCAACUCAGAACGGCCAGCUGAUACUGAUGUGCUAGAGUGCAGAAGGGGCAACCGGAAUUCUUGGUGUAGCGGUGAAAUGCGUAGAUAUCAAGAGGAACACCUGAGGCGAAGGCGGGUUGCUGGGCUGACACUGACGCUGAGGCGCGAAAGCCAGGGGAGCAAAC